rnacentral:rRNA from 1 species
UACGAAGGGGGCUAGCGUUGCUCGGAAUUACUGGGCGUAAAGCGUGCGCAGGCGGUUCGCUAAGACCGAUGUGAAAUCCCCGGGCUUAACCUGGGAACUGCAUUGGUGACUGGCGGGCUAGAGUAUGGCAGAGGGGGGUAGGAAUUCCACGGUGUAGCAGUGAAAUGCGUAGAGAUGUGGAGGAAUACCGAUGGCGAAGGCAGCCCCCUGGGCCAAUACUGACGCUCAUGCACGAAAGCGUGGGGAGCAAACAGG